GAAAGUAGCGCCAUAGCGGGUGACAGCCCCGUAUGCGAAAGCAAUCAACAAGGACUUGAGUAGGGCGGGACACGUGUAAUCCUGUCUGAAUAUAGGGGGACCACCCUCUAAGCCUAAAUACUCGUGUAUGACCGAUAGUGAACUAGUACCGUGAGGGAAAGGUGAAAAGUACCGUGAAUAACGGGGUGAAAUAGAACCUGAAACCGUGCGCUUACAAGCGGUCAGAGCCCUUUAGUGGGGUGAUGGCGUGCCUUUUGCAUAAUGAGCCUACGAGUUGCUGUUGUUGGCAAGGUUAAAUAAUUAAGUUAUGUAGCCGGAGCGAAAGCGAGUCUUAACAGGGCGCUUAGUCAGUGGGGGUAGACGCGAAACCUUGUGAUCUACCCUUGUCCAGGAUGAAGUUGUGGUAACACACAAUGGAGGUCCGAACCAGUUAACGUUGAAAAGUUUUUGGAUGAGGUGAGGGUAGGGGUGAAAGGCCAAUCAAACUGGGAAAUAG
rnacentral:rRNA from 11 species